rnacentral:piRNA from 1 species
UUAAACCAUCGUGUGUGGGAAGCUGC